rnacentral:rRNA from 1 species
UACAGAGGGUGCAAGCGUUAAUCGGAAUUACUGGGCGUAAAGCGUGCGUAGACGGUCUUGUAAGUCGGGUGUGAAAGCCCCGGGCUCAACCUGGGAAUUGCACUCGAGACUGCAUGGCUAGGGUGCGGAAGAGGGAAGCGGAAUUUCCGGUGUAGCGGUGAAAUGCGUAGAUAUCGGAUGGAACACCAGUGGCGAAAGCGGCUUCCUGGUCCAGCACCGACGUUCAGGCACGAAAGCGUGGGGAGCAAACAGG